AUUGAACGCUGGCGGAAUGCUUUACACAUGCAAGUCGAACGGUAGAGGGGGCAACCCCUCGAGAGUGGCGAACGGGUGAGUAAUAUAUCGGAACGUGCCCAGUCGUGGGGGAUAACGUAGCGAAAGUUACGCUAAUACCGCAUACGAUCUACGGAUGAAAGCGGGGGACCGUAAGGCCUCGCGCGAUUGGAGCGGCCGAUAUCAGAUUAGGUAGUUGGUGGGGUAAAGGCUCACCAAGCCAACGAUCUGUAGCUGGUCUGAGAGGACGACCAGCCACACUGGAACUGAGACACGGUCCAGACUCCUACGGGAGGCAGCAGUGGGGAAUUUUGGACAAUGGACGCAAGUCUGAUCCAGCCAUUCCGCGUGCAGGAUGAAGGCCCUCGGGUUGUAAACUGCUUUUGUACGGAACGAAAAGGUUUCCAUUAAUACUAGGGGCUCAUGACGGUACCGUAAGAAUAAGCACCGGCUAACUACGUG
rnacentral:rRNA from 1 species